AGAGUUUGAUCCUGGCUCAGGACGAACGCUGGCGGCGUGCCUAACACAUGCAAGUCAACGAGAAAGGGGUAGCAAUAUCCCGAGUACAGUGGCGCACGGGUGAGUAACACGUAGGCAAUCUGCCUUCAGGACGGGGAUAAUUUCGCGAAAGCGGGACUAAUACCCGAUUAUGCAGUGGCACCGCAUGGUGACAGUUGUUAAAAGCCGCAAGGCGCCUGGAGAUGAGCCUGCGUCCCAUUAGGUAGUUGGCGGGGUAACGGCCCACCAAGCCCGCGAUGGGUAGCUGGUCCGAGAGGAUGGCCAGCCACACUGGAACUGAGACACGGUCCAGACUCCUACGGGAGGCAGCAGUGAGGAAUAUUGCGCAAUGGCCGAAAGGCUGACGCAGCGACGCCGCGUGAGGGAUGAAGUCCGUUAGGAUGUAAACCUCUUUUGCAGGGGAUGAAGCUGCCGCUACAGGCGGCAGUCGACCGUACCCUGCGAAUAAGGGUCGGCUAACUACGUGCCAGCAGCCGCGGUAAUACGUAGGACCCGAGCGUUGUCCGGAUUUACUGGGUGUAAAGGGCGUGUAGGUGGGCGCUUAAGUCGAUGGUGAAAUCCUGCGGCUCAACCGUAGAAUUGCCGUCGAUACUGGGCGUCUUGAGUACGGCAGAGGGAGAUGGAAUUCAUGGUGUAGCGGUGAAAUGUGUAGAUAUCAUGAAGAACACCGGUAGCGAAGGCGGUCUCCUGGUCCGUUACUGACACUGAGGCGCGAAAGCGUGGGGAGCAAACAGGAUUAGAUACCCUGGUAGUCCACGCCUUAAACGAUGGGUACUAGGUGCUGGGCCGCAAGGUUCAGUGCCAAAGCUAACGCAUUAAGUACCCCACCUGGGGAGUACGAUCGCAAGGUUGAAACUCAAAGGAAUUGACGG
rnacentral:rRNA from 1 species